CUCUGCUACAGUGACUGUCGACAUUACAGAGAACAAUUGCUCUGUCAGCCUGGGUCUACAGUACAGAAAUGCAGAGAAAAAACUGAGUGGGCCAAAACACAAGAUGCUGUUUAAUAAAAGUGUCAAAGAUGCAUAUCUCUUCAGUAUAUGCUGCAGCCUAUCAGACUGGGAAAAGGCAGAUGCUCACUGGUUCACCUUAUUUGGUUGAGAAACCACUGCACCCUUUCUGACUAAAACAUGCAAGAACCAAGACUCUGCAGUCAGCAACAUCCUGGAGCGGCAGUGAACUGAGCCAGGCCUUGUAAAAACAUCCUGCAAGAACCAUCAAUUCUUGGGGGCCAUGGAGCAGAGAAAAGAAACAUAUUCCUACUUUUGGUGAGAAGCAAGACACUGUAUCUCAUGAUAAAACAUAAAAUCAGAGAAUCUCAAAAAAAAGGCUGAAAAUAUUCUGCAUAAGCAUGAUUGGAAGGGCAUCAAAUGGCACUAAAUUAUCAAUUUUCAAUGGUGAAUCUACAGGCACAAGUAUCUGAACACUGGUCCAAAUGUGACAAAGUUAAUUUAGUAGUGGUGACCCCAUGGUAG